rnacentral:rRNA from 1 species
GAGUUUGUCCUGGCUCAGGACGAACGCUGGCGGCGCGCUUAACACAUGCAAGUCGUACGGGGGUCCUUCGGGGCCUCAGUGGCGAACGGGUGCGUAACACGUGAGUGACCUGCCCUUGUGCGGGGGAUAACCCGGGGAAACCCGGGCUAAUACCGCAUGGACUCUGGGGUCUGCAUGGGCUUUGGAGGAAAGCCGCUUUCGGGCGGUGUGCAGGGAGGGGCUCGCGGCGUAUCAGGUAGUUGGUGGGGUAAUGGCUCACCAAGCCGAUGACGCGUAGGGGGUCUGAGAGGAUGGCCCCCCACAUUGGGACUGAGAUACGGCCCAGACUCCUACGGGAGGCAGCAGUGGGGAAUCUUGCGCAAUGGCCGAAAGGCUGACGCAGCGACGCCGCGUGGGGGAGGAAGCUUUUCGGAGUGUAAACCCCUGUCAGGAGGGAAGAAGGUCCCGGGGAGGAAAUGCCCUGGGGAUGACGGUACCUCCAGAGGAAGCACCGGCUAACUCCGUGCCAGCAGCCGCGGUAAUACGGAGGGUGCGAGCGUUGUUCGGAAUUAUUGGGCGUAAAGCGCACGUAGGCGGCUCGGUAAGUCUCACUGUGAAAGCCCGGGGCUCAACCCCGGGAGGCCAGGGGAUACUGUCGGGCUGGAGACAGGCAGAGGCUGGUGGAAUUCCGGGUGUAGCGGUGGAAUGCGUAGAGAUCCGGAGGAACACCGGAGGCGAAGGCGGCCAGCUGGGCCUGAUCUGACGCUGAGGUGCGAAAGCGUGGGGAGCGAACAGGAUUAGAUACCCUGGUAGUCCACGCCGUAAACGAUGGGCACUAGAUGCCGGUGGGAACGACCCCUUCGGUGUCGCAGCUAACGCAUUAAGUGCCCCGCCUGGGGAGUACGGCCGCAAGGCUGAAACUCAAAGGAAUUGACGGGGGCCCGCACAAGCGGUGGAGCAUGUGGUUUAAUUCGAAGCAACGCGAAGAACCUUACCUGGGCUUGACAUGCAUAUGAAACCCCGGUGAAAGCCGGGGCCUCCUU